rnacentral:RNase_P_RNA from 1 species
UAGGUUCGGCAGACGAGUAAACGAGAGGAAAGUCCGGGCAACACAGGGCAUCCCACUUCCUAAUCUAGAAGCCAUCCGCGAGGGUGGAGUAGUACAGAAGAAAAUAACCGCCCCCAUUCCGAUGGGAGCAAGGGUGAGAAGGUAAGGUAAGAGCUUACCAGCAGUGUGGUGACACAUCUGGCUGUGUACCUUGGGAGUUGCAAGUUCAUGUAAACUGGCGCUGGCAUAAGUAUGGCUCGCUAUGCUGAUGCUGAUGAGAGUAGCCCGCUCAAGCCAGAGGGUGGAACGCUUGAAUAGUGUGGUGACAUGCUAUCUGGAUAAAUGACAAACAUCUACACUUUAACUGAUUCGCUUUUUCGGGUCUCGUGUAGACACAGAACCCGGCUUACAGGUCGACUGC